CAUGUGCUAUUUACUUUUAGAAAGAAGGAGGAGUGCUCCUCUGGUAUUCCCUAUUGCCAUGGUGCUCUUCCGGUUUCAGAAGAUCAGCGUGAGACGAACGAUAAUCACUUGAGCAAUCAGUGCAUACAGUUGGAAAGGAAGUGGCUGCUUCCAAGAGCUGGAGAGAUUGCAUAUGAAGCACUUGACACCCUAAUGAUACUUCCUUGAAGUGGACACAAAACGGAAAGAUGAGCUCCUGGAUGAGACUUGUUCAGUUGCAUCAUGUAGGCUUGAGACUGCAAACAGUGGAAUGACAUUUUCUUCUACCUGAAGCUGGGUUUCUUUUGAAGCGUGUUUUUGUUUUCUGCUGCCAGAUUCCCUUACCCUAUCUGAGGAAGCUGGGACCUGUGUGCCUGGGUUUAUUCUAGAACUGCAGUCACUGGGACCUGAAGAGCUCUGCCCAUGUGUGGAUGUUUGCUGGCGUUACUGCCUUGAACUCUCCGUUGAGCAGGGCAGCAGGGAAGCGGCAAGUGUGUGCAGCAGGCAGAGUCCGAGUCCACAGCAGCUGGUCACGAAUCCCGAAGGCCAAGCAAGAGCAAAGGCUGGCUGGGCUGUGAAAAUUGCUCCUCUGAGGUCCUAG
rnacentral:lncRNA from 1 species